GGGGUUGUAGCCCAGCGGCAGAGGCGGCGUCUUUAGGGGGCGCAAAGCGUGGGUUCGAGUCCCACCAACCCCA
rnacentral:tRNA from 1 species